rnacentral:misc_RNA from 1 species
GGGCAGUCUCAGCUGUGUCAAAAUCCAAUAAGAAUAACAAAUGUUCUGAUAAACAUCCACUACCAUCUGCAUUAAUUGACACAAAAGUAAAGUAUAUAUAUCAGGGCUAUUACAGUUACAAUACCUGAUCGAAAAAUACAGGAUCUCUUACAAGGUUGAUAAAGAAACGUAUCCUUUAUUUGUGGUCAAUAUGAAAACCACUUAUUAUAUUUGCUAAGGGGGCUGGGGGCUUCGAUAAUGGGGGAAAGUACAAAAGA